GUUAAGUUGUUUCUUUCUUGUGCUAGAAAUUUUAAUGUCUUAAGUUAUCCAUGUUGUUUUCAGUUUUGUUGUUAAUCUUUUUAGAAUAUUUGUUUUUUUAAGGAAACAAUUUUCAAAGUUUUUACUGGAUACGAUCAAGCUGUUGUAAGAUUUGAAGUAAUUGCCACUGACAUUUCAAGAAUUUAUUGAGACUAUAAAUCAUCAAUGGUUUUUAUCAAUUUCUCUGUUUGGCCAUUGGUUCAGUUCAUUUGUCUGCUGCAGUCUACAAUGGCAAGCAGUACUGAAAGCAAGAAAAAGGUAAAUAACAUGUUAGAAAAAGAUAUCGUUAUGAUUAACCUGUAUAGCUUAUUUUUACUGAUGAAAUUAAGGAGUAUAAAAGGUUUAAUCAAAAAGAUCCUGACACUUAAGUAUAGGCUCUUUCUAAUGAUAUUGUAAGCAGCUUUCUGCAAUUAGCAAUAACACUGGUGAAAUAACAAGCCAUCUGCUGCUUCUGUUCAUUGUUAAACUGGUAUAUCAAUAACUGCAGAUCAUUUCAGACAAGGGGGUUAAACAUAAAGCAGUGAACAAAUGUGAAUCGUAUUUUCCAGGGACAUAAUAACAUGGUUUAUGAAGUACAAUAUUGUUGAUGAAUUUCUUAUAGAAAAUGUGGCAGGUUCUGAGAUAUGGUGCUUCUUUCCUGCCAUAUCAGUCAAACUGCCUUAAAGAAAGUUAAUGAAAUCCUCUGAGUUAACAAAAACAUAUUUGAAAAACAACUUGCAAUUUUCUUGGCAGAACUUUAGA